rnacentral:rRNA from 1 species
UGCGGAGGGGGCGAGCGUUAUUCGGAAUUAUUGGGCGUAAAGGGCGCGUAGGCGGCUUGAUGUGUCAAAGGUGAAAUCCCUCGGCUCAACUGAGGAACUGCCUUUGAAACUGUCUGGCUUGAGGCCGGGAGAGGGUAGCGGAAUUCCCAGUGUAGCGGUGAAAUGCGUAGAUACUGGGAGGAACACCGGUGGCGAAGGCGGCUACCUGGACCGGUUCUGACGCUGAUGCGCGAAAGCGUGGGUAGCGAACAGG